rnacentral:piRNA from 1 species
ACCUAUGAUAAAUGUGACACUUUCCAUGGG